GACGAACGCUGGCGGCGUGCUUAACACAUGCAAGUCGAACGGUAAGGCUCCAGCUUGCUGGGGUACACGAGUGGCGAACGGGUGAGUAACACGUGGGUGACCUGCCCUGCACUUCGGGAUAAGCCUGGGAAACUGGGUCUAAUACCGGAUAGGACUGCACCGUGAGGGUGUGGUGGAAAGUUUUUUCGGUGUGGGAUGGGCCCGCGGCCUAUCAGCUUGUUGGUGGGGUAAUGGCCUACCAAGGCGGCGACGGGUAGCCGGCCUGAGAGGGUGGACGGCCACAUUGGGACUGAGACACGGCCCAGACUCCUACGGGAGGCAGCAGUGGGGAAUAUUGCACAAUGGGCGGAAGCCUGAUGCAGCGACGCCGCGUGGGGGAUGACGGCCUUCGGGUUGUAAACUCCUUUCACCAUCGACGAAGGGUUUCUGACGGUAGAUGGAGAAGAAGCACCGGCUAACUACGUGCCAGCAGCCGCGGUAAUACGUAGGGUGCGAGCGUUGUCCGGAAUUACUGGGCGUAAAGAGCUCGUAGGUGGUUUGUCGCGUCGUCUGUGAAAUUCCGGGGCUUAACUCCGGGCGUGCAGGCGAUACGGGCAUAACUUGAGUACUGUAGGGGAGACUGGAAUUCCUGGUGUAGCGGUGAAAUGCGCAGAUAUCAGGAGGAACACCGGUGGCGAAGGCGGGUCUCUGGGCAGUAACUGACGCUGAGGAGCGAAAGCAUGGGGAGCGAACAGGAUUAGAUACCCUGGUAGUCCAUGCCGUAAACGGUGGGCGCUAGGUGUGGGUUUCCUUCCACGGGAUCCGUGCCGUAGCUAACGCAUUAAGCGCCCCGCCUGGGGAGUACGGCCGCAAGGCUAAAACUCAAAGGAAUUGACGGGGGCCCGCACAAGCGGCGGAGCAUGUGGAUUAAUUCGAUGCGACGCGAAGAACCUUACCUGGGCUUGACAUAUACAGGAUCGCGCCAGAGAUGGUGUUUCCCUUGUGGCUUGUAUACAGGUGGUGCAUGGUUGUCGUCAGCUCGUGUCGUGAGAUGUUGGGUUAAGUCCCGCAACGAGCGCAACCCUUGUCUUAUGUUGCCAGCACGUUGUGGUGGGGACUCGUAAGAAACUGCCGGGGUUAACUCGGAGGAAGGUGGGGAUGACGUCAAAUCAUCAUGCCCCUUAUGUCCAGGGCUUCACACAUGCUACAAUGGUCGGUACAGUGGGUUGCCAGUCCGUGAGGGCGAGCUAAUCCCGCAAAGCCGGUCUCAGUUCGGAUCGGGGUCUGCAACUCGACCCCGUGAAGUCGGAGUCGCUAGUAAUCGCAGAUCAGCAACGCUGCGGUGAAUACGUUCCCGGGCCU
rnacentral:rRNA from 1 species